rfam:Echinostoma caproni strain Egypt genome assembly, scaffold: ECPE_scaffold0000181
GCACUGCUGAUGAGUCCCAAACGGGACGAAACAUCUAUCCAGUGC